CAUCCUCUAUCGAUGGCCGCUUCCUCUGAUCUUCACAAAGACAGUUAAUGGCAAACUCGACUGUGGUCCUCAGUGACUCAUACGCAUACGUUCCCCUCACGCUCGGAUCUGCUAAGCUACGCAACACCGAUGGUUCCUCUCUCAAACCAUUCUCCAGCUGAAGCUUCAAGCUUCCCAACUCUGAGGAUGCAGCCGCCAUUACUUUGCCCGUGAUGAUCUGAAGUAGGAUCACUCCAAACUGGUGUUACCAGUGAGGUAGUCCCUCAGUGACCCGUUAGAGAUGUAUUCUUGGACUAUGAAAAUAGUGCUCCCGGCGUAUGGAUGAUGAUCUUGCUUAAUACACCUCACCGUCACUGGAAUGCCUUCUCUAAGAUAACCUUUGUACAGCUGUUUUUAAAUUACAUAAUUAGAGACUCAAAACCGACUUGUGAUCAUGUUUUGUUGGCUUUUUCAUUUUACCUGUUCUCCACAGAGACUUGCUGCAUCAAAGUUGUUGGUGGCUUCUUCCAGGUCCUCCAAAGAGAAAACACGGUAGGGUGAUAGUCCAAUCACAGCAGAUCUCAUGGUUUGUGGUAUGCGUCCUGCAUUUGAAGUGAUACUUAGGUUAAAUGGGUUUUGAAAACUUGAUUCAAGAUUUUAAUGUAAUAGCUUUUUUUAUUACUUGGAUCUGGUACUGUUUUUGAUGUAGUGGACCUUGUGGCUGUGCUACAAACAGAGACCUUAUCGACGUUGCUUGCUUCUAAAGGUACUUCUUUUGAUCUUGA